rnacentral:rRNA from 1 species
GAUGAACGCUAGCUACAGGCUUAACACAUGCAAGUCGAGGGGAAACGACAUCGAAAGCUUGCUUUUGGUGGGCGUCGACCGGCGCACGGGUGAGUAACGCGUAUCCAACCCUGCCCACCACUUGGGGAUAACCUUGCGAAAGUAAGACUAAUACCCAAUGAUAUCCCACGAAGGCAUCCGAAUGGGAUUAAAGAUUUAUCGGUGAUGGAUGGGGAUGCGUCUGAUUAGCUUGUUGGCGGGUAACGGCCCACCAAGGCAACGAUCAGUAGGGGUUCUGAGAGGAAGGUCCCCCACAUUGGAACUGAGACACGGUCCAAAACUCCUACGGGAGGCAGCAGUGAGGAAUAUUGGUCAAUGGACGAAGUCUGAACCAGCCAAGUAGCGUGACAGGAUGACGGCCCUAUGGGGUUGUAAAACUGCUUUUACG